GUGGGGAAUUUUGGACAAUGGGCGAAAGCCUGAUCCAGCCAUGCCGCGUGCAGGAUGAAGGCCUUCGGGUUGUAAACUGCUUUUGUACGGAACGAAACGGUCCGGGUUAAUACCCUGGGCUAAUGACGGUACCGUAAGAAUAAGCACCGGCUAACUACGUGCCAGCAGCCGCGGUAAUACGUAGGGUGCAAGCGUUAAUCGGAAUUACUGGGCGUAAAGCGUGCGCAGGCGGUUUUGUAAGACAGGCGUGAAAUCCCCGGGCUCAACCUGGGAAAUGCGCUUAUGACUGCAAGGCUGGAGUGCGGCAGAGGGGGAUGGAAUUCCGCGUGUAGCAGUGAAAUGCGUAGAUAUGCGGAGGAACACCGAUGGCGAAGGCAAUCCCCUGGGCCUGCACUGACGCUCAUGCACGAAAGCGUGGGGAGCAAACAGGAUUAGAAACCCGGGUAGUCC
rnacentral:rRNA from 1 species